UAGUGAGUUUGAUCCUGGCUCAGGACGAACGCUGGCGGCGUGCCUAAUACAUGCAAGUCGAGCGCAGGAAGCGCGCGGAACCCUUCGGGGGGAAGCACGCGGAAUGAGCGGCGGACGGGUGAGUAACACGUAAGGAACCUGCCCCAGGGACUGGGAUAACUCCGAGAAAUCGGAGCUAAUACCGGAUCUGUCACGAGACCGCAUGGUCCCGUGAUGAAAGGCGCUCCGGCGUCACCGUUGGGAUGGCCUUGCGGUGCAUUAGCUA
rnacentral:rRNA from 1 species